ACUUAUUUGUUUUUCGCAUUAUAUUUUCAGCAUUAGCGGCUUUCACGAGAAAAAUUAUAUCUUGAGCUACGAGUAUCAGAUUGAGGCUUGUGAGUAUGAGUUGGAAAGCUAAGGAAAAGAUCUACAACUUUAGUUCAGAAGUCGAGAGCUGAAUCGGACUGUAGCAGGGCCAGAAAGUCUGUUGAAGUUGCAGAAUUUUAUUUGUAUUUUU
rnacentral:lncRNA from 1 species